rnacentral:lncRNA from 1 species
UUGCGCAAUCUGCACCUCUGAAACUCAAGAAGACAUCAUAAAUCUUUUGGGUUCCGAUGAAGAAGCCAUCAGAUGAUGGAGUUUACCAAUCGGCAACGACUAUUUGCUGAAAAUUUGAGACUCUGUUUUCAGGUAGUUCACCCCUAGGUAGCACCGACACGUUGCCGGAGCUUCCGAGACACGUUGACACACGCUCGGACACGCUUGGACACGUUCGGACACGCUUCGACACGCGUGUCCGAAAGGGUGGAGGCCGCGAGUGAAGGCGAGCCCGCGACGGCGAGAGACGGCCAGAGAAAGAGAAAAGAGUGAGGCGAGGGCCGUGAGGAGGAACUUCACGAGGGAGGCACUCGUGGGGGAGGGCGGCGUCGUCGAGUGGGGCGGCGGCGGCGGCAAGGGGGAGGAGGAGGAGUUCGCGGCGGUGUGCAGCCUCUCCGCGCACAGGGACCGCGCGUUCCGCCUUCUUUUCCGAUCCCUUCCACUGAAAUUUUUUCUGGGUUACUCCCUUUUCCGCUCCUUCGGCGAAUGCUGGUGCUUUUCUUGCGAGUCUUCAAUGCUUUCGGAGAUAGGCGUCGUGCGGUGAGGACUGAGGAGGAGGAGGAGAAGAAGGUGCCGUGCUGCUAGGGUUUUGAGAACUGUGAAGGAAAAUAAAAGAUUAAAAAAAGGAGCUUGCGUGUUGGAGGAAGGAGGAAAUGACAGGAGGGGAAGGGACGGCUGUCAGGUGGUGGGGAGGUAAAAAAACUAAAAAAAUUUGGGGGUGGGGUCUGUUGACGGAAAAAAAGGGAGGGAGUUUGGG